rnacentral:lncRNA from 1 species
GGUUGUUGCGACAAUCCUCCUGACACAAAGAUUCUGUUGAUUGGAGUGUGUAUGGUGGCAUUGUUGAACUUCAUCUGCUGCUUUACCCUUUCAUGUUCAAAACCAAUGGGCUUAGGUUUCCCAUAGUUCUGUCUUUGUAACAUUUCUUCAAGGACAUCAGUACCUUUGGUCAUCAUUUUUGCCACCUUUGUGACAUGAUCCAAGUCAGCAUUUAGCUUGGU